rfam:Schistosoma mattheei strain Denwood, Zambia genome assembly, scaffold: SMTD_scaffold0003637
AUCCAGUUUACGAGUCCAACAACAGGACGAAGACGUGCGUUCUGGAU